rnacentral:misc_RNA from 1 species
GAACUGCGAUAAGUAAUGUGAAUUGCAGAAUUCAGUGAAUCAUCGAGUCUUUGAACGCACAUUGCGCCCCCUGGCAUUCCGGGGGGCAUGCCUGUCCGAGCGUCAUUUCAACCCUCAGAACCCCUUGCGGGAUCUGGCGUUGGGGAUUGGCAUCCAGCCAGCCCCGAAAUCUAGUGGCGGUCCCUCCGCGACCUCCCCUGUGCAGUAGCGAUACCUCGCAGCGGGACAGCGGUCUGACCACGCCGUAAAACCCCCAACUUCUCAAGGUUGACCUCGAAUCAGGUAGGAAUACCCGCUGAACUUAAGC